rnacentral:lncRNA from 1 species
AUAUAUAUAUAUAUAUUAUGUGCCUAAUAUAUUAUUGAUUUAUGCAACCUGUCAUUUAUCAAACAAUUGAAUAAAUCAUUUAUUCAUGAUUAUAUAUAUAUACACACACAUUUAGGCAAUACCUAAUAUAUUAUUGAUUUAUGCAACAUGUCAUUUAUCACACAACAGAAUAAAUCAUUUAUUCAUAAAAGGCACAUAACAAUUUGAUUUAUUCAGUCAUACUUAUACUGUCAUUUAUUGUCAGGAAUUAUUGAGCAACCAGCUCUACUGAUCUACAUUGUCGCCGAUUAAAGAAGUCUGACAACUUGUAGACUGACGGGCCACAUGCUCAUAUCAUUUGGCAACUUGUCACCCUUAUCACCAACCAGGUGAAGAAGGAACACACCUUCAUGCCACCAACUAGUUGAAGAAAUGUACAACCCGUACUCUAAAUAUCAUUUGGCAACUUGCCACCCUUAUCACCAACCAGGUGAAGAAGGAACACACCUUUAUGCCACCAAUCAGGUGAAGAAAUGUACAACCCGUACUCUAAAUAUCAUUUGGCAACUUGCCACUCUUAUCACCAACUAGGUGAAGAAGGAAUGCACCUUCAUGCCACCAACCAGGUGAAGAAAUGUACAACCCGUACUCCAAUAUCAUUUGGCAACUUGCCACUUUUAUCACCAACUAGGUGAAGAAGGAACACACAUUUAUACUCAUUCAUACAUAACAAAACAUUCAUGAGCAUCACUCAUGUCAAUCAACAUAAACAUCAUACAUUUCAACACAUUCAUGAGCAUCACUCAUGUCAAUCAACAUAAACAUCAUACAUUUCAACACAUUCAUACACAAGCCAACUGAGCUUCGAAAUGGUUCAACAUAUUCCGUAUCAUUUGGCACUUGGUACAAUGCGCCACGACACCUUGCCCUUAUUUUCACUUCGGCCCACACAUGGACUGGAUUUGAAGUCUCCAGCCAAAAGACUCUCUUGAUUGAAGACUUGGGGGACUACACUGUUGGUACCCUAUUUGGGCCUCGUUAUUGGGCCUCGGGACACUAAGCCCACAUUUUAUGUAAGAGGGGAGAGAGCCCUUAUUCUAAAAAGGGACUCUCCACCCUUAUCCACGAGCAUUGACUCUAGCCAAGUAGCCUUACAACGAGCACCGCCUUCAGCCGAGCGAUCGCCAGGACAACAUCUAGUCACUUCGGCCCACAUAUGGACUAGAUUUGAAGUCUCCAGCCAAAAGACUCUUUUGACUGAAGACUUGGGGGACUACUGUUGGUACCAUAUUAUAUUGGGCCUCGUUACUUGGGCCUCGGUACAUUAAGCCCACGAUAUAUGUAAAAGGAUGAGCCCCUUAUUCUAUAAAAGGGGACUCCUCCCCCUCAUAAAAAGGAGGUCUCAUCCUCACAUACAGAAGCCAUAAAGCUCACAAACAGAGAAACUCUCUCAAACUCUCUCUUUCUCUGGAGGGGACUCCCUCUCCCUC